rnacentral:rRNA from 1 species
UCAAGCUGAAAAGAGCGCAAGGGGAAUGCCUUGGCAUCAGGAGCCGACGAAGGACGUGACAAGCUGCGAUAAGCCACGGGGAGGAGCAAAUAUCCGCUAUAUCCGUGGAUUUCCGAAUGGGGGAACCCGCUCAAGCAAUACUUGAGCAUCGUGCGUUGAAUCAAAUAGGCGUACGAAGGGAACGGCCUGAACUGAAACAUCUAAGUAGGGCCAGGAAAAGACAUCAACCGAGAUUCCGCUAGUAGUGGCGAGCGAACGCGGAGGAGGCCAAACCGAGGGACGCAAGUUCUUCGGGGUUGCGGACAGACAUCAUGACCAGAGGAAAUUAAGAGAACGGCGUGGGAAAGCCGGCCACAGAAGGUGAGAGCCCUGUAUCUGAAAAUGAAGACUGGCAGUCUGGAUCCAGAGUACCGCGGGACACGUGAAACCCCGUGGGAAACCGGGUGGACCACCAUCCAAGCCUAAAUACUACCUGAUGACCGAUAGAGGAGCAGUACCGUGAGGGAAAGGUGAAAAGGACCCCGGGAGGGGAGUGAAAGAGAACCUGAAACCUUGUGCUUACAAGCAGUCAAAGCGCGUUAAGGCGUGAUGACGUACUUUUUGUAGAACGGUCCGGCGAGUUAUAGUAACGAGCAAGCUUAAGGUAUUGAGUACCGGAGGCGAAGCGAGAGCGAGUCUGAAUAGGGCGUAAAGUUCGUUGCCAUAGACCCGAAACCGGGUGACCUAUCCAUGAGCAGGCUGAAGUGAGAGUAAAAUCUCAUGGAGGGCCGAACCGACCCCCGUUGCAAUGGUGGCGGAUGACUUGUGGAUAGCGGAGAAAUUCCAAUCGAACUCGGAGAUAGCUGGUUCUCCCCGAAAUAGCUUUAGGGCUAGCGUUAUUUUAGAUUACCGGAGGUAAAGCACUGAAUGGUCUAGGGGCCGCGAGGUUACCAAAGCCUAUCAAACUCUGAAUGCCGGAUAAUUGAUGAAUAGCAGUCAGACUGUGUGAGAUAAGUCUCAUAGUCAAAAGGGAAACAGCCCAGAUCUACAGCUAAGGUCCCAAAUGAACACUAAGUGGAAAAUGAUGUGAAACUGCGAAGACAACCAGGAUGUUGGCUUAGAAGCAGCCACUCAUUCAAAGAGUGCGUAAUAGCUCACUGGUCGAGUGGUUUUGCGCAGAAAAUGUAACGGGGCUAAGUGUUCAACCGAAGCUUAGGCAUUGCAGUAAUGCAUUGGGUAGGGGAGCGUCGUAUGCGGGGCGAAGUCAGAGCGGAAGCACUGGUGGACUGCAUACGAGUGAGAAUGCCGGAAUAAGUAGCGAGAAUUAUGUGAGAAUCAUAAUGGCCGAAAAUCUAAGGUUUCCUGGGGAAGGUUCGUCCGCCCAGGGUUAGUCGGGAGCUAAGCUCAGGCCGAAAGGCGUAGGCGAUGCACAUACGGUAGAAAUUCCGUAACCACCGAACUUUAAGCUAGAGGGACGCUUUCUUUAAGGUUAUCCCGGGCGAUGGUUGCCCCGGGCGUAAGGGACCGAAAUUUAGUAGGGAAGUAACUGGCGAGAGAGACGAGAAAAGCUCUAGUGUAUACUAAGGUGCCCGUACCGCAAACCGACACAGGUAGAAGGGAUGAGUAUUCUAAGGCCAACGGGAGAAGGGUUGUUAAGGAACUCGGCAAAUUGGCCCCGUAACUUCGGGAUAAGGGGCGCCUGCGAGAGCAGGCCGCAGUGAAAAGGCCCAAGCGACUGUUUAGCAAAAACACAGCUCUCUGCUAAAUCGAAAGAUGACGUAUAGGGGGUGACGCCUGCCCGGUGCUGGAAGGUUAAGGGGAGUGCUUAGCGCAAGCGAAGGUGCGAACUUAAGCCCCAGUAAACGGCGGCCGUAACUAUAACGGUCCUAAGGUAGCGAAAUUCCUUGUCAGGUAAGUUCUGACCCGC